CAACUACUCCCUCUGUCCCAAAUUUCUUGUCUUAGAUUUGACUAGAUACGGAUGUAUCUAAUACUAAAAUGUGACUUGAUACAUCCAUAUCUAGAAAAAUUUAAGACAAGAAUUUUGGGACGGAGGGAGUACUUU
rnacentral:pre_miRNA from 1 species